GUGUGGCCUUGAACAAAUCCUCUCUCUGGAUGUCACUCGCACCUAAGAAGCCAGAUACUUCAGAUGAGGAAACUGAGUCUCAGAGAAGUCGAGGGACUGGCUCAGAGAUGUACAGCAUGGCAUUGCUGGAGCCGGCCUGGAAGACAAGCAGUCUCCCUCCAAUUGCACACUGUUUUCUCUGAGGCUCUGCAUUGUUGGAGGAAGGGUCAGAGGGGCU
rnacentral:lncRNA from 1 species